CCCUUAGAUGUUCUGGGCUGCACGCGCGCUACACUGAAGCUAUCAACACGUUUUCCCUCCCUGAGAAGGGCGGGUAACCUUUUGAAUCAGCUUCGUGGUAGGGAUCGGGGCUUGCAAUUGUUCCUCGUGAACCAGGAAUUCCUAGUAGACGCGAGUCAUAAGCUCGCAUCGAUUAAGUCCCUGCCCUUUGUACACACCGCCCGUCGCUACUACCGAUUGAACGUUUUAGUGAGGCAUUUGGACCGACGCAUCUCAGUUUAACCGCUGGUUUGUGUUGGAAAGACUUCCAAACUUGAGCGUUUAGAGGAAGUAAAAGUCGUAACA
rnacentral:rRNA from 1 species